GUCUGAGUGGCUCAGCAGUUAAGCGUCUGACUUUGGCUCAGGUCAUGAUCUUACAGUUCGUGGGUUCGAGCCCCGCCUCAGACU
rnacentral:tRNA from 1 species